UAGCCCUUACCCAUCUAAGCAACUUUCCAUGCAAGUCAUCAAAAUUCACCCUGAUUUUCCCAAAUAGCAGAGGGAAUUUGAUUCCUUUCAAUGUUGAAACCACUUUGGUGUCACUAGAUCUCUCAUUUCCCCUCCAAUCCAUCAGUGAACUUUGGAGCCUUCUCAAGAUUUUGAUCCAAUGCUAAGGAUGGAGUCCAACCUGUCAGUCCUGUGACACUUCCUUGAUUUACGGUUGUGGUGUUUUUCAAAUAAGGGCAGCAGAUUCUCAAGCUUUAUUGAGAAAUGUUCAGAGAUGAGUAGAAAGUGUUUUGAAAUCAGAAAAAGAAGAUGUGCGUCAGUGCUUAUCUGCCACAGCAAGGAGACCUCCUUUGUUUAAAGGCCAGCCAAGUAUUGUCUUUGGAUCUUCAUGUACGCAUCUCAGUGACAUAAAUGGGAGUGUCAGGAUGAAAUCCUUCCAGACCUGGAGACCUCAUAUGCUGGAUUUUUUAGACCUUGAUAUGAGAAUAAUUUCCAGGCUUAGAAUCAGAUGUAAUGAGAAUGAAAUAGUUUUCUAAAACCUUCAAAUCUAAUUUAAUCAGGGAUUGUUGCUGUGCCCACUGGACUUUAUGGCUUGGCUGAUUUUAUAAUACCCAGCUCACAAUGGGCAGCUCUGGCCCCAUAGUCAUCUGGUAUCGCAGAGAUGAGGUGUUGAAAGUGGUCACCGAGAAGACGUGACUGCCGGUUGACCCCCGAGCUGCACCUGGGCAAUCAGAGGUUCCCCACCCCCUCCCCUGUCCUCAGAAUGUAUGUUCUGCCCAUCAUUCCCACAGUGGGAGCCAAUUUCAAGGAUGGACCCUUGAGAGAGCAAUGUGUUGUUAAGACCAUCUGGACAGUAUAUGUGACUGAACCCUAUUAAGACCUCUAUAUGUUUUUAAGAUUCUGGCAGGCGGGUGUGGAAAUUUACUCUUCUUGUGGCCGUGCAAGACAAGUCUUCAUGUAGUUCCUGCACUGGUGUGCUUUUGUGAUGCAAGAGGGAAAGAAAAGAGAGAAAAGAUCAAGAGGCGGGAGCCAAGGAUCAACAAGGGGUCCCUCUGCCACAUUUCCCAGGGGAGCUGAAGACGGGGAGUUAAGAGAAGUUGUAUGUGAGGAAAGAGGACUUAAAGAAGGAUAGUUGUGGAAUCCCAUCAGGAUAUUCAAUCAGUUUGCGUAAAAAAAAGAGAACUUAUUUUGAAAUUAACUUUUAUUUGCUCAUCUGCUCUUUUGAUAGAAGCUCUCCAAACUACACUAGGUCUUAGGAAAAUAGUACCUACUGCAUUCUCUACUAGCUUCUGCUUCAAGUUUUUCAUUAGUGAUUUUUUUCAUCUUAUAUCUUAGACAUUUUAUCACUUGGCUUGAGUGAUAGUUUGUAUUUUUACAUCAAUAAUGUUAAUUAAUAAUCAUUUCAUUAUGUUAUAAAUAAUAUUAAUUAUUAACAUUAAUUAUUAACAUUUCCUAGACAGAUAAGAGGCAGUUUGGGUAGUAUAGUCAUUUUCACAAUGUUGAUUCUUCCAAUCCAAGAACAUGGUAUAUCUCUCCAUCUGUUUUUAUCAUCUUUAACUUCUUUUGUCAGUGUCUUAUAGUUUUCUGGAUACAGGUCUUUUGUCUUCUUAGGUAGGUUUAUUCUUAGGUAUUUUAUUCUUUUUGUUGCAAUGGUAAAUGGGAGUGUUUCCUUAAUUUCUCUUUCAGGUUUUUCGUCAUUAGUGUAUAGUAAUGUAAGAGAUUUCUGUGCAUUAAUUUUGUAUCCUGCUACUUUACCAAAUUCAUUGAUUAGCUCUAGUAGUUUUCUGGUACCAUCUUUAGGAUUCUCUUUAUAUAGUAUCAUGUCAUCUACAAACAGUGACAGUUUUACUUCUUUUCCAAUUUGGAUUCCUUUUAUUUCUUUUUCAUCUCUGAUUGCUGUGGCUAAAACUUCCAAAACUAUGUUGAAUAAUAGUGGUGAGAGUACUAUACUACCCAAAGUAAUCUACAGAUUCAAUGUAAUCCCUAUCAAACUACCAAUGGCAUUUUUCACAGAACUAGAACAAAAUAUUUCACAAUUUGUAUGGAAACACAAAAGACCCCAAAUAGCCAAAGCAAACUUGAGAAAGAAAAAUGGAGCUGGAGGAAUCAGGCUUCCUGACUUCAGACUAUCCUACAAAGCUACAAUAAUCAAGACAGUAUGGUACUGGCACAAAAACAUAAAUAUAGAUCAAUGGAACAGGAUAGAAAGCCCAGAGAUAAACCCAUGCACAUAUGGUCACCUUAUCUUUGACAAAGAAGGCAAGAAUAUACAAUGGAGAAAAGACAGCCUCUUCAAUAAGUGGUGCUGGGAAAACUGGACAGCUACAUGUAAAAGAAUGAAAUUAGAACACUCCCUAACACCAUACACAAAAAUAAACUCAAAAUGGAUUGAAGACCUAAAUAUAAGUCCAGACACUAUAACUCUUAGAGGAAAACAUAAGAAGAACCCUCUUUGACAUAAAUCACAGCAAGACCCUUUUUGACCCACCUCCUAGAGAAAUGGAAAUAAAAACAAAAAUAAAGAAAUGGGACCUAAUGAAACUUAAAACCUUUUGCACAGCAAAGGAAAACAUAAACAAGACGAAAAGACAACUCCCAGAAUGGGAGAAAAUAUUUGAAAAUGAAGCAAGUGACAAAUGAUUAAUCUCCAAAAUAUACAAGCAGCUCAUGCAGCUCAAUAUCAAAAAAAAAACAACCCAAUCCAAAAAUGGGCAGAAGAUCUAAAUAGACAUUUCUCCAAAGCAGACAUACAGAUUGCCAACAAACACAUGAAAGGAUGCUCAACAUCACUAAUCAUUAGAGAAAUGCAAAUCAAAACUACAAUGAGGUAUCACCUCACACCAGUCAGAAUGACCAUCAUCAAAAAAUCUACCAACAACAAAUGCUGGAGAUGGUGUGGAGAAAAGGGAACCUUCUUGCACUGUUGGUGGGAAUGUAAGUUGAUACAGCCACUAUGGAGAGCAGUAUGGAGGUUCCUUAAAAAACUAAAAAUAGAACUACCAUAUGACCCAGCAAUCCCACUACUGGGCAUAUACCCUGAGAAAACCAUAAUUCAAAAAGAGACAUGUACCACAAUGUUCAUUGCAGCACUAUUUCCAAUAGCCAGGACAUGGAAGCCACCUAAGUAUCCAUCGACAGAUGAAUGAAUAAAGAAGAUGUGGCACAUAUAUACAAUGGAAUAUUACUCAGCCAUAAAAAGAAACGAAAUUGAGUUAUUUGUGGUGAGGUGGAUGGACCUAGAGUCCGUCAUACAGAGUGAAGUAAGUCAGAAAAAGAAAAAUAAACACCAUAUGCUAACACAUAUGUAUGGAAUCUAAAAAAAAAAGGUUCUUAUGAACCUAAGGGCAGGACAGGAAUUAAGACACAGACUUAGAGAAUGGACUUGAAGACACAGGGAGGGGGGAAGUGUAAGCUGGGACGAAGUAAGAGAGCAGCAUUGACAUAUAUACACUACCCAAUGUAAAAUAGAUAGCUACUGGGAAGCAGCUGCAUGGCACGGGGAGAUCAGCUCGGUGUUUUGUGACCACCUAGAGGGGUGGGAUAGGGAGGGUGUGAGGGAGACUCAAGAGGGAGGGGAUAU